rnacentral:rRNA from 1 species
CAGUCGCCGCGGUAAAACGUAGGUGGCAAGCGUUGUCCGGAAUUAUUGGGCGUAAAGCGCGCGCAGGUGGUUUAAUAAGUCUGAUGUGUAAGCCCACGGCUCAACCGUGGAGGGUCAUUGGAAACUGUUAAACUUGAGUGCAGGAGAGAAAAGUGGAAUUCCUAGUGUAGCGGUGAAAUGCGUAGAGAUUAGGAGGAACACCAGUGGCGAAGGCGGCUUUUUGGCCUGUAACUGACACUGAGGCGCGAAAGCGUGGGGAGCAAACAGGAUUAGAUACCCCCGUAGUCCCUGUCUCUUAUAC